rnacentral:rRNA from 1 species
CAGCAGCCGCGGGAAUACAGAGGAUGCAAGCGUUGUCCGGAAUGAUUGGGCGUAAAGCGUCUGUAGGUGGCUUUUCAAGCCCGCCGUCAAAUCCCAGGGCUCAACCCUGGACAGGCGGUGGAAACUACCAAGCUGGAGUACGGUAGGGGCAGAGGGAAUUUCCGGUGUAGCGGUGAAAUGCGUAGAUAUCGGAAGGAACACCUGUGGCGAAAGCGGCUCACUGGACCGACACUGACGCUGAGGCGCGAAAGCGUGGGGAGCAAACAGGAUUAGAUACCCCUGUAGUCCCUGUCUCUUAUAC